CACAGUGCUUCUGAAGCAGCGUGUUGAUCUUUUUGACACACGCACCGGAGCGUCAGCGUCAAGCGGACCAUCACUACCUCUCACAUCUAAAGGGUACCAACAAUUUUGUCCACGUCUACGGCGCUACUCCCUUGGACCGAGAAACUUCUCUCUCUCUGGGUGAUGGUAUUGCUCUUGAGCUCAUGUAGAGCACACUGUCCUUGCUAGGGACGGAUGACGGCGGAUUCCUCUUCACUCAAGUCUUCCUCCGACAGCUGGCUUCGCCAAUUCACUGUUGCUGGCUGCAAAGGAUUACUACUCACUUGCAGAAGCGGCCGCGACCACUGGCACUGAUCAGCAGGAGGAGAAGAGUCUGACGGAGCAGCAGAGGAACAUUUUCAGCCA